UACGUAGGGUGCGAGCGUUGUCCGGAAUUAUUGGGCGUAAAGGGCUCGUAGGCGGUUUGUCGCGUCGGGAGUGAAAACCAUGGGCUUAACUCAUGGCUUGCUUUCGAUACGGGCAGACUAGAGGUAUGCAGGGGAGAACGGAAUUCCUGGUGUAGCGGUGAAAUGCGCAGAUAUCAGGAGGAACACCGGUGGCGAAGGCGGUUCUCUGGGCAUGAUCUGACGCUGAGGAGCGAAAGCGUGGGGAGCAAACAGG
rnacentral:rRNA from 1 species